rnacentral:rRNA from 1 species
UACGUAGGUGACCAGCGUUGUCCGGAUUUACUGGGCGUAAAGAGCGCGCAGGCGGUCGUUCAAGUCGAGUGUGAAAGCCCCCGGCUCAACUGGGGAGGGUCAUUCGAUACUGAUCGACUUGAAGGCAGGAGAGGGAAGUGGAAUUCCCGGUGUAGUGGUGAAAUGCGUAGAUAUCGGGAGGAACACCAGUGGCGAAGGCGGCUUUCUGGUCUGUAACUGACGCUGAGGCGCGAAAGCGU